GAUCCUUAGAUGCAGGCCUCGGGGUGGUGUGGUAGUGAGACCCCGGUUAUUGUCCUUUGAAGAGAUUUGGGUCCGGCCGGUGGGGGUUAACUCCACUGGGAUGUGCCGCCACAGAGGGUGAUUGCCCCCCGUUCCCCUUCAACGCCUUCAUCCAAUAUUUCCCUCACUUUACUUGUUGGUUUUCGCCUUUCCAUCUGUGUGGUUGAUUCCUAUCGGUCUCUCGCCCGUAUUAAAGACCGAUUGGAAUUUACCACCCACUGGAGCUUGAAAAGCACUUUGAAAAAAUAUUGAAAAACUACGUGAAAUUGUUGAAAGGGAAGGGCUUGCAAUCACACCCUUAACUGGGCCACCUUCGGGGCGGCGGGAACCAAAACCACCGGGGAAUGUACCUUUCGAGGAUUAUAACCCCGGGCCUUACUCCCUUACCACCCCGAGGCCUGCAAUCUAAGGAUGCUGGCGUAAUGGUUGCAAGUCCCCCGUCUUGAAACACGGACCAAAAAA
rnacentral:rRNA from 1 species